GAUCAUGGCUCAGAGUGAACGCUGGCGGCAGGCCUAAUACAUGCAAGUCGAACGGCAGCACGGCAGAGCUUGCUCUGUGGGUGGCGAGUGGCGGACGGGUGAGGAAUACAUGGGAAUCUGCCCAGUCGUGGGGGAUAACGUAGGGAAACUUACGCUAAUACCGCAUGCGCCCUUCGGGGGAAAGCCGGGGACCUUCAGGCCUGGCGCGAUUGGAUGAGCCCAUGUCGGAUUAGCUAGUUGGCGGGGUAAUGGCCCACCAAGGCGACGAUCCGUAGCUGGUCUGAGAGGAUGAUCAGCCACACUGGAACUGAGACACGGUCCAGACUCCUACGGGAGGCAGCAGUAGGGAAUAUUGGACAAUGGGCGCAAGCCUGAUCCAGCCAUGCCGCGUGAGUGAAGAAGGCCCUCGGGUUGUAAAGCUCUUUUGUCCGGAAAGAAAAGCGCCGGGUUAAUACCCUGGUGUCCUGACGGUACCGGAAGAAUAAGCACCGGCUAACUUCGUG
rnacentral:rRNA from 1 species